rnacentral:rRNA from 2 species
ACGGGAGGCAGCAGUGGGGAAUAUUGCACAAUGGGGGAAACCCUGAUGCAGCGACGCCGCGUGAGCGAUGAAGUAUUUCGGUAUGUAAAGCUCUAUCAGCAGGGAAGAUAAUGACGGUACCUGACUAAGAAGCUCCGGCUAAAUACGUGCCAGCAGCCGCGGUAAUACGUAUGGAGCAAGCGUUAUCCGGAUUUACUGGGUGUAAAGGGAGCGCAGGCGGUCUAGCAAGUCUGAAGUGAAAACCCAGGGCUCAACCUUGGGACUGCUUUGGAAACUGUUGGACUAGAGUGUCGGAGGGGUAAGUGGAAUUCCUAGUGUAGCGGUGAAAUGCGUAGAUAUUAGGAGGAACACCAGUGGCGAAGGCGGCUUACUGGACGACAACUGACGCUGAGGCUCGAAAGCGUGGGGAGCAAACAGGAUUAGAUACCCUGGUA